rnacentral:rRNA from 1 species
GACGACCGGCGCACGGGUGAGUAACGCGUAUGCAACCUACCUUUAACUGGGGCAUAGCUCCGAGAAAUCGGGAUUAAUACCCCAUAAUGUUACAAUUUCGCAUGUUAUUGUAACUAAAACUCCGGUGGUUAAAGAUGGGCAUGCGUGUCAUUAGCUUGUUGGUGAGGUAACGGCUCACCAAGGCUACGAUGACUAGGGGGUCUGAGAGGAUGAUCCCCCACACUGGUACUGAGACACGGACCAGACUCCUACGGGAGGCAGCAGUGAGGAAUAUUGGUCAAUGGGCGAAAGCCUGAACCAGCCAUGCCGCGUGCAGGAUGACAGCCCUAUGGGUCGUAAACUGCUUUUAUACGGGAAGAAACCCCUGAUCGUGAUCGGGGCUGACGGUACCGUAAGAAUAAGGAUCGGCUAACUCCGUGCCAGCAGCCGCGGUAAUACGGAGGAUCCUAGCGUUAUCCGGAUUUAUUGGGUUUAAAGGGUGCGUAGGCGGAAUAAUAAGUCAGUGGUGAAAUCCUGCAGCUUAACUGUAGAAUUGCCAUUGAUACUGUUAUUCUUGAAUGCAGUUGAGGUACGCGGAAUGUGUAAUGUAGCGGUGAAAUGCUUAGAUAUUACCCAGAACACCGAUUGCGUAAGCAGCUUGCUAAAACUGUGAUUGACGCUGAGGCACGAAAGGCCUGGGUAGCAAACAAGGGAUUAGAUACCCUGGUAGUCCACGCCGUAAACGAUGAUUACUCGAUGUGUGCAAUAUAUCGUACGCGUCUGAGCGAAAGCAUUAAGUAAUCCACCUGGGGAGUACGUCCGCAAGGUUGAAACUCAAAGGAAUUGACGGGGGCCCGCACAAGCGGAGGAACAUGUGGUUUAAUUCGAUGAUACGCGAGGAACCUUACCUGGGCUUAAAUGUAUUCUGACGUUCCGGGAAACUGGAAUUCCCUUCGGGGCAGAUUACAAGGUGCUGCAUGGUCGUCGUCAGCUCGUGCCGUGAGGUGUCGGGUUAAGUCCCAUAACGAGCGCAACCCCUAUUGUUAGUUGCCAGCGGAUAAUGCCGGGGACUCUAACGAAACUGCCAGUGUAAACUGUGAGGAAGGUGGGGAUGACGUCAAAUCAGCACGGCCCUUACGUCCAGGGCUACACACGUGUUACAAUGGUCGGUACAAAGGGCAGCUACCACGCGAGUGGAUGCUAAUCUCCAAAACCGAUCUUAGUUCGGAUUGAAGUCUGCAACUCGACUUCAUGAAGCUGGAUUCGCUAGUAAUCGCACAUCAGCCAUGGUGCGGUGUAUACGUUCCCGGGCAUGUACACACCGCCCGUCAAGCCAUGGAAGCCGGGGGUACCUGAAGUCCGUAAC